rnacentral:tRNA from 1 species
GGCUUCACAGCUCACUUGGUUAGAGCAUUAUACCAGCAUUGUAGGUCAUGGGUUCAAACGCCAUUGAAACCC